AAAAGAGAGAGAGUGAGGCUGGGCGCAGUGGCUCAUGCCAUUACUUUUAAUGGCAAAAACUGCAAUUACUUCUGCACCGACCUAAUACAACCUGCAGCGUAUUCCUCUUUAUACCAGCACAGUUCUAAAAUGUAUUUUUAAUUUGUUUUUAAUGGUGAGAAGGGCCCAUGAAUGCAAAAGUACACAAGGAAGACGAAAGUCCUAAUUUGGCCCAGCAAAUGAUGCAUGCUCCCUUCUGUUUGAAAGCUAGAGGCAAGACCUGCCUGCAGCCUGGGAGCCAGAAGGAUCACUUACGCAGCUUACUUCGUAGCGCUGAUGCUCGAUGCACUGCGAGGCUUGACAGUCAGCCAAUCAGUCCACAAUCAGGCCUUUUUCCAACAAAACCCAACCCUUCAUUCUUGCAACAAAUAUUUAUUGAGUUUCUACUCUGAGCCAGGCAUGGUCUGGGUUCAAAUAUCAGUGUGAGCACUUGCCGACUGUGUGAACUUGGGAAAGAUGCUUGCUGUCGCUCUAUGUGCCAUCUGUAAAAUGGGAAUGAUAGGAUUGUCAUCAGAGAUAGGAGAAUUCAUCCAGGUAAAGUAUGUAGAAGGGUCCCCCUUGUAUGACAAGCACUGCAUACAGUUAGCCCCAAUUAUCAACAGGGAUGUGAACUCUGCCCCACUGGAGCCUGCGACAGAUCAUUAACAAGUCCUUGAAUAGACACAUUUGCCUUUGUUAUGAUGAGUGCAAUGAUGGGAUGAACAGAGAACUGAGGUGAAUGAUAACCAAGAGGGUUGUCUUAAAUGGUGUAGCCAGGGAAAGCUCUCUAAGGCAGUGCCAUCUAAACAGAGACCUGAAGGAACAAGGAAGCAGCCCUGGGAGGGGAGGAGGGAGCAGCUCAUUCAAAGGACUAGAGAAGGAACACCAGGGUGGCCAUUGUGAUGGAGCCCACAAUAGCCCAGGAACUGCCCCUAGAGUGCACAGAGGCAAAGCCUUGUCCAGGUGCCUGUUGCAUUUAAAAUUCACAGCACCCCCUGGAGGCAGGUGUGGGAAUUAUCCCCAUUUUACAGACGAGGCAACCCUGACCCAGAAUCCCUUGGAACCAGACACAGUAGAAAGCAUGAUGUAAUUAUCCAGGGGACCCAGAUCCUCACCCCAAUAGUGACAGUGAGUCGUGUGGACCUGGUAAAAUCACCAACUUCUCUGAUUCUCCUUAUCUUGAAAACAGGGAUGAUAAUGCUCCCCCCUACCCCACAGAUGCUGUGACGUUCCAAGCAGACAUCUAAGAGUAAAAACAGAUAUUUUCCACCAUAGUGUGCUAUUUUUGCUGUCCCUAAAAGCAGCCCACAUCCCCAUCUGAGUGCUAGGAAUUUCCCUUAGGACCUGCUGGCAAUCUGUCAACCAGGAAUUUCUCUGCAUCUUCUUACAUUUAGAAAUAUAUUUUUUCCUAGGGCAUCUCUAAUAGCCCAAGUUUCCUAGAUACUACAUACUGGUUGGGAAAACAGGACUGUUUGGGAUUUCAUCCUAAAACAAUUUCCCUUGAUUCCGUGGGAGGGGCUGGAAACAAGCUGGACAUGCGUCUUCUUCCCUCUCCCAUAUCUGCAACUUACUGCCCACUCUCCAGCCUUCCAUCUCUCUAUCUGUCCCAUCCAAGCCACUCUUGAAUGGCCGUUGUCUCUAAACUGAGAUCUAUACUUUCUCUUCCC
rnacentral:lncRNA from 10 species